GGAUUUAUGGCAUUAUACAUAGGAGGCAGUUUUCUCAUAUGGUAACAAAAUCCCACCCCUUUUUCCUUACUAUAUAUCUUUCUAUAUUCUAUAUAUAUAAGCCUUCUACGUUCACCUCUUUAGUUUGAAUAUGUCCAUCUCUCUCUCUCUCUCUCUCUCUCUCCAUAUAUGUGUGUGAUUGUGUGCCUUGUGUUUCACCAGAUUAACUCGUUCUCUUUGCAAGAAGAUCAAUAAAGGAUUUGUGUCACUCAUCAAUGGAAGCAAGAAACGGAUUCGAAAGGGAAGGGAGAUGCAUAAAAGAAGAAGGUCUAAGAGAACUCACAUGUAUACUGCUUGCAAAUUAAAUGGUAAAUUUAUUUCUUAAAAAAUAAAUAAAUAAUGUUUGGUUACUCUUUUGAGGGAGUAGAGAUGCAUGGAGAUAAUUGGGAUAAAAUCAUGUCUUUAAUUCACUAAUUAAACAUAACUUAUUUAAUUCUUAUCAUGAUGAAUAAUUUCGUGCUUGAUAAGUUUAUUUCUUGUAGUUGUUUUGCUUUUUAAAUAUGGUGUUAAUUGCUUAGACAACACUAAAUUAUUUUACUAUAUAUAUAUAUAUAACCCACAUUGAACAAGCUCUUUUGAUAUAAGGGUUUUUGUUUUUUGUCUUGAUUUGGAUCUAAUUGGAAGAGCAUGCAUGUACUCGCAGUGUUUAUCUUUAUCAGGUUUCAGCAUGAUCAUCACAAUUAAUAGAGGAAUAUUGAUGGUGUGGCCUCUCCCUUCUUGCAAGGAAUAUAUUUCUCCCAUGAACUUUAAUUUGAUGAUUCGAUUCCCACUUAGCUACCAAUCUAUGCAGCAGAAAAGCUUAAGGGCCAUACUCUGAUCAAGAACUACUUUCUCAAAGCUCGGAGAGAGCAUCAUUGCAAUUUGCUAAUGUUUUUAUUCCUCCAUUGUGGUUUACAGUAGUGUUACUUUUUUUCCUCAACUACGGAAGAACAUUAAUAUUUGU